GCCAGGCGCCGUGGCGCACGCCUGUAAUCCUAGCAGCUCAGGAGGCUGAGACAGGAGGAUCGCGAGUUUAAAGCCAGUCUCAGCAAAAGUGAGGCGCUAAACAACUCAGUGAGACCCUGUCCCUGAAUAAAAUACUAUAUCUGUAUAUAAAAAACAAAAAACCUAUAUUUUUGUAUAUAUAAAUAAUUAGAGACAGGGUCUCUGUUGUUCAGAGCCUCUCUAAGUUGCGGAGGCUGGCUUUGAGCUCGUUAUCCUCCUGCCUCAU
rnacentral:sRNA from 1 species